AAAAAAAGAAUUCAACAAAAAAUAAGCUACCUGGACAAAAAAAGUGUGCAGAGUUUGACAGCAGCUGGUUGACUAAAAUUCAAACUAUUUUCAAUAAAAUCUGAUUCAUAUAUGUUCAUUAUAAAUAAAAUAUGAUGGUCCUUUUUUCAUCUAAACAUUUACAGAAGGUACAAGUAUUGUGAGCCCAGGUGUGCAGAGAGUAAGAGAACUUGGAGAGACAUUUCAAAAAUCACUGAAUUUCAAAAAGCAUGCAUUAGUUUCUACAGUGUCUUUAAUAAAUACUCUCACAAUGGAUUAAACAUUUCCUUAAAAAUGUAAAAAAAAUAAUCAAGUUACUACUAAAUAUGUUAAGAAGAAAAAAAUCUGCAAUAUAUAUUUUUGCAGAAACAAUUCAGAAAUCUGUUUACNNNNNNNNNUGAGAACAUAUUCAAAACCUGUUCAAGGCUUCUAAAUAUUUAUAGCAAGUGUAUACUUUUUAUCAUGCUACACCAAUCAAGAUAGCUGGAGACAUUGGGGACAGUAGAUAUUGAAGAUAACCUACAGUAAGAUUGAUCAUAUAGCUGUGCUAAAGGGAAAACCCUCGCCAGGAUCUUUCUCCCAGUUUCUCUAAGAUAGGUGUGUGUUAGAGUUGUCCAAAGAAACAAAACCAGGAGGACUAUAUGUAGAUUUAGAUAUACAUAAGCAAACAUAUACAUAUAUCCUAUGUGUAUCUAUCUAUGCAUAUAAAGACUUGUUACAAGGAAUUGGUUUACAUGAUUAUAGAGACUGACCAGUUCCAAGACCUACAGUUAGCAAGCUGGAGACCCAGAAAAGAAAGCUGCAGGAUGGAGACUUAGAGAGAGUUAAUGUUUCAGGUUGAGUCUGAAGGUGGGAAAAGACUGCUGUUCCAGCUUAAGGGUCCUGAUGGCUCAGAUGUUGUUCUAUUCAGGCUUUCAGAUGACUAACUGAGACACACCCACAUUAAGGAGGGCAAGGUCCUUUACUCACUCCUGCCAAUUCAAAUGUUAAUCUUGUCAGAAACACCUUCAGGAAGUCUGAUCAACUGUCUGAGCAUCCAGUGGCCCAGUCAGUUUUACACACAAAAAAUUAAACAUCACAGUAGGUGAGCAAAACUCAGAGCCUGAGAGAUUCAUGUUAACAUGUCUUCUCUAACCAUAUGCUCCCCAAUUCUGCCUCUCUAUGUAAACAGAGUCUAGAAUAUUGAUUUGCAUACAUAGUUUUCUCACCCAGAGUUAACCUCUGAAUAUUGUAACAUGCUUUGAUGAUCUGGGCUUCCCUCAUAACUCAGUUGGUAAAGAACCCACCUGAAAUGC
rnacentral:lncRNA from 1 species